AAAUUUAAUGGCGAUGGGGCUCGCCUAACGCUCAUCUGAGCUAAUAGCUCCUACCGAAAG
ncrna:Carboxydothermus hydrogenoformans Z-2901 Fluoride riboswitch